GAACGCAUAUUGCACUCUCUGGUAUUCCGGAGAGUAUGCCUGUUUGAGGGUCUGUUAAAUAAAAAUCGAGGUUGUUGCUGCCUUUUUUGUGUGUGGUGACGCUUCGGAAUUGGGUCUUCUUUACCUUCGGGUUUAAGUGACCUAAAAUUUUUACAUGAUUUCUCGAACGUAUUUAAAUCGUUUACGUACGUUUGGUUAUAUCGAAUAUAUUAGGUGUGGUCAUCCUCAUGAUUCACGUCUAUAAUUUUUUUUCAUUUUUAGACCUCAAAUCAGGUAAGAACACCCGCUGAACUUAAG
rnacentral:misc_RNA from 1 species